GCAGACACGAUUGGUGUUUUAACAUGGCUCAACCGGCUAACAGCAACUCCUGGCCUUGUCACCGCCAGCAGCUCAUUGGCUCCCCGUAUCAGUAUUUGGAACCCAGUGCAGGGGGCCGGCUCUUGCCCGCCUGCGCAAUCCUUCCUAACCUUGGUAGUUCCCCAAGUUAGCACAUCCAUCCUCCAAACAACAGCCUUCCAGAACAACCCCACGGUGGACUCCGCGGGACUGCCCGACUGACGAAGAGCUCUCGACGGAGGGGUUGGAAAACGUCAGAGGACAGUUAUGGGUUUUUUUUUCCUUUGGCGAGCCACGACCCCGCAAGAUCCUGAUACUGGCCAGCUCCUUACUCUGUAUGUAUCCUGCCCGUAAUGGGAUAUAUAUGUAAAGGCGACGCCCAAGUUUUGUCACUAAUGUAUGUGGGAAUCGAGUUUGUUGUCAGUACAACUAUACUCGAUUGCUAAAUGUGAAAAUCAUGGACUCUGCACAUGAACCAGCCACAAACAGCACUUAGCCCAAGCCGCAUUCAAUAACGAAGUCAUGACAUGCAGAACUGAGUCUUUUUUUUUUCAUCUUUAUUGAUCCAUUCAAACACUGCAGCAAGGAGUCUAUGGAUUUAAUUACUGUGCGGAUUAGGAAGAAAAGAAUAAGAAAAAGGAAAAAGAAAACCAGGGACAGAAACUUAGACGGGAACGGAAAUCGGCCAUUGACAGAGGCAGAAAACAAACGGAGACAAAAGAAGAUGAACUCCAUGUAACAGCAGUGAGUUUGCAAACCUACCUCUACAUUGUAUAUAUGUAGAUAUCCAUCCAGAAACCCAGUAUCUCUUUCUUUCCUUUGCGUGCAUGUACCCGACUUGUCGAUCAAGUCGGAAUACUGGAUUAGCGCUUUGCAAUAGUUAAUACCUUUGGUAAAAAAAAACCGGGGUACGAGACAAGCGUUGUCCCGAAGCCUGUGGCAGGGUUAAUAGUAGAGAUUGGAGUCGAACAGAGGGCU
rnacentral:sRNA from 2 species